UAUAUAUAUAUAUAUAUGCAUACAUAUAUACCUAUAUGUAUAUAUACUUGAUCUUGUUCGACGAAAGUUCUUCUACGGGAAAACCCACGUUCGUCCUACAGUCGUCGUUGUUGUGUGGUGGCGAAUCGGCGCACUUUUGAAACUCGUCAAGUGUUACAGAGAAAGUGAAUUUAAACUAUUGAACAAAUAUGAAUGAAAAUGAUAUGAAAUAAAAAUAAUCUAUUACAUGUGAUAAUCAUGGAAAACGCGCAUAUUUGUACAGCCUCCACAUCAUUCAUCGAUAUCAUCUUACUCUAUACAUAUAAAUAAAUGAAUAUAAAUAUAUAUGUAUAUAUAUAUAUAUAUAUAUAUAUGUGUGUAUACAUAUAUGUAUAUAUAUAUAUAUAUAUAUAUAUUAUAAAUAUGCUACAAUAUUAAUUAAUUAACUAUUAACUUUAGAGGAAGUAAUCAAUACUAUCGUUACUAUUAUUAUUAUUAUUAUUCGUAUUAUUAUUGUCGUCGGAUUGUAAACAAUAAUAACAAUAACGCUAACAACAACAACAACAACAACAAAUCGCAACUGUUCAAGCAUACAGUCGAUUAUAUAUAUAUUAACUACAUAGUUGAGUAAUAUAGUGUUUAAUAUUGAUGAUAAUGUUUGUAAAAAUAACGACGGCAAUGAUGAUGUUGAUUAUAAUAAUGAUAAUGGUAAAAUAAAUGAAUAAUGAUUAUUAUGAUAAUGGUAGUUGUAAUCGUAAUUGAAAAGUAUCAUCCCGUAUGUUUAUGACUUGCGUGUGCGUGUGCGUGUGUGCGUGUGUAUGGGGAAAAAGUCGAAAGAUCGAUGAACAGCAGAAAGGGAGAAAAAGCUCAGACGUGCGCGGGGCAGGUUUUGAGAAAUCUAUACAUUCGUUAUGUAUGUAAUGAUAAAGAUAAUGAUAAUGAUAAUGAUAAUAAAGUGACGAUGAUAACAGACGUUAUACACGUGACUGAAGUGUUUGUAUAUUUUCGCGUCAACAUAUAAUCGAAACGCGAAUUACAAGAAAGCGAAACAGAAGUAAGAUAAAAAAUGACACACGUUAUACAAUUUAUAUGUAUAUAUAUAAGAGUGUGCGGAGUAGGACAAAUUCGGAGUAAAGCUUAGGGGUAAAAGGUAUAAUCGAUGAAUAGAAAAUACUAGUAAGUUGAGAAACAAGAUGGUAAAGGUAAAGAGAGAAAAAGGUAAGAAGAAAAAAGAAAAAGGUAACGGUGAAAGUUACGAGAGUGUGAUAAAUAACAAAGUUUCUAAGUAAAAUUUUGAUUGCCGAAAAAGAGGAAAGAGAAAAGAUGAUUGUAUACCUUGUUGACGAUUAAUGGGAGCGGUGGAAGUAGAUGUGGAGAGUUGAAGUCACUUGAGAGUUUGUCACGAGAUUCUGACAAACUUACAACUUUGCAAUUGUCGUAACUUUUAUGCCACGUGUACGAGUUUCGUGUCCUGUGUCGAUUUAGAAAUUAAUUACCAGCGAAAAAAGAUGAAAGAAAUUAGGGCGACGAAACAGAAAUAUGAAGGAAAUUUAACGAAAAUAUUCAACGCGAUUAUUUACGUCAAGAAGCAGGUAUUUCAAUGAAAAAUUCACUUGGCGUGUGUCCGAAAUUUUUAAUACAUUUAAAACAUAUGGUAUGUAACGCGAUGUAUUCUGUGAAAAAUUGACGAAGAAAAGAGAGGGUUUUUUAAAAAAAAAAGGAGGAAAACUUCCGAAGAAUCGACGCGAGAUCAAUGAAGAUAUUUUUUGAAAAACAAGUGAGAAAUUUUCGUGUAAUAUUGUAUUAUAGGUAGUAAUAUCGAAUAUAAUAUAUCCGGGAAAAGAGAGAAAAUAGAAUAGACUCGUAAUAAUAUUGAUAAUUACAUUAAGAGAUGAUUACAUACAUAUAUAUUAUAUAUAUAUAGUAAACGUGCGUACAGUAAAAAGAAAUCAAUGAUCGUUGUACAUAGUAGAUUGUUAAGGCCCUCAACCAACCCCCCCUCUGUAGUUCUUGUAGAAAGAGUGAAGGAAGAAGUGCGGUGAAGAAAAGAGGUAAUAAUUUGAAAAAAAAAAAAAAAAAAGAUUAUACUAAACGAUAGGGAAAACGUACAGCGUUUUUGAAAAUCGUUAACUAAUAGUUAACACGUGUCGUUGUUGAGACGCCCGCUCCCCUUUUCAUCCACCCAGCAUGCAUUGAAUAUCACGAAAAAAGGAAAAGAAGGGAAAAUUUAAUCUCUAGAAAAGCACCAAUAAUCAAGCAAAAACACAAUCAAUUUUAUCCAGCCUAGCGAAGAAUGAACUCUUCAAUAAAUUCACGAACCCAGCCCCCUCCCCUCCAUCGUCAUCCUUGUAAUCAAAUUAUGCACUAAUCAUUGUACACAUACUCACACACAUGAAUACAUAUAUAUAUAUAAUACAUGUACAUAGUAGAUUUUCAUUUAAAAAAAGUAAGAAAAAAGUUUAAAAAAGAAAAAAAAAAGAAAGAAAGAAACAAAAAAAAAAACAUAAAAACAACAAGAAUCGUCAUUAUUCCCGUGUCUUUUGGAACUUGUAUCAUUCAUGAUUCCAUAUUGAUGAUUAUAACUUAUAUGUCGCAUAUUGCGAUUGAAGAUGUUGGAUUACUCUUGUGUAUAAUUAUUGCGUGUAUUAUAGAUAGUAAAAGAUCUUACUGGAAAAAAAAAAAUAAAUAAAAUAAAAUAAAAAAAAAAAGUAAUCGUGAAAAUUGCAUCGGUAAUUGGUCGUUGUAGAGAUACACCAUCGUUUUAUCCAAAGGGGCACAAUUUCCACCCCCCCCCCCCCCCCCCCCUUGUCAGUUCUGCAAAGUCUAUGUAUAGCGUUCUACAUAUAGUAUAAUAUGUAAUGCGCAUAUGUAAACUAUAUUAUACACAUAUUAAUGAUUAUUAUAUAAUAAUGAGUGGUGAUGAUGAUGAUGAUGAUGAUACGUGAACUAAUUAUGGAAUAUCAUACGUACAUUAUUUGUUUAUCCGUGCGGUGAUGAGAUGGAAAAACAGUGCAUAACGAAAUAGGAAGGGAAAGAUCAGUUGAACGUUUGUCUUGUUCGAUUUUUUUAUUAUUUCUGUUUCGAUUUCUUUUUCUAAGUAAUAUAAUUUAUUAAUUAUUCCUUCUUCUUCGUGAUAAUAUUAACGAAAGGAAAGAACAACCAGUAAGAUACCUGUUAUUGUUAUGUUGUUACUAUUAUUAUUAUUAUUAUUAUUAUUAUUGUAAUAUAGAACUGAAAUAUUGUCCCGCCCCCGCAUUUCCCCAGUGAGCAGCAGCACUUCAUAUUUUGUACGCUUGGGAGUUGUGAGGUCGUCUGAAUAAACAUUGUCUGGUGAAUUAUAAAUAUAAUACGUCUGUCUCAUUUUUUUCUACGAAUAUUACUUACGCCUAUACAUAUAUGUACAUACAUAUACAGUGUAGCGUCACUUCUUUGUACGAUAAAACCAAUUUUCCCGUUGUCUCCUAUUCAAUCUCAUCGUUAUUAUAAUACUAUCGAUAAGCGUUGGAAUAAGUGUGAAAUGGAAUUGAAACCAAAGGAGAACUAACAGAAAGAAGAUGAGGAAUAAGCGUGUAAGAAUGUCCGAGGAAAUCUGAUUAUACGGUAAGUGUGAAACGUUAUAGGUAUUUCAAUUUCGAAAACGUUGGAUCAAACUCUAAUUCCAACGGACGACAUCCGCGUCGUGUUUUGUUUACACGGCGCCCUUCAGAGUAGUUCAGUCUGUUAUAAGAUGGCGACGAGUGCGGAACGAAUAUGCCGAUGCGGGGUGAGCGUCUCGAUUGUUCGUUGUUAUUGAGUAAAUACGUGGAACGUCUCGCGUCGUGCGUCGCUCGGUUCGACGAACGAUAAGCUUGUGAAUUCAAUAACGCUGCAGCGGUCGCGAGUGAGUCAGGUUAUUUCAAUUUGCAAAUCGGGACGCGGCGGUGAUGAUGAGGAAGAUGACGAUCGUCGUUCUGACUCACGGCCAACUUCGCAUCAGUGCCGCGGCGUCGUCUCAUGCCCUCGGAAUUUUUAUGCCACAGGCCUCGGUCAAAUUUUCAGCUUCAAUAAUUCUCCUUCGAUCUCUAACCUCAACAACUUCCGGUUAAGUCGUUAUCGCCUUCCUCGCGUCGCGUCGAGUCGAGUUAACCAAGGUCAGGCAUCCGCCGAUAUGCUAACGAGCCUGCAGUCUGACCAUUGUGAAAACGCGUUUUGUACGGAGUUUAAAGUGUUAUCGGUGUGCCUGGACUUCGUCGGGGAUGCCAAGACAGCAUGUGGGAAAACACUGGACUUGGGUGAACCAAGGCGAUGACUGGUGCUGAUGCAGUGCGAGUAGACGGUGCGGAAUGAAAACCGAUCGAUCAUCAUCGGAAUCCGUCGGAGCUGGAUCAACCGCGAUAGUACCGAGGCAUCAUCCAGGAAUCGACAAUUGGCGAACGAUACGCCGAGUAACUCGUCUCUUGGUAAACACUUGACAGAUUGAUUUCCCGCGUGGCGAUGCUGGGACCGGCCACACUGUGAUUUUCCACUUAUCGGCAACAUCGUGGUGUGCGCGAUACGUACGUUGUUUCAGGACCCAGACAAGCGGAUGAUAAUCCUUGGACCUGAAGACUUUAGUGACAAACCAUCCUCCAGGUCUGAGAAAUUGUGUGGCAACUUUAAGAGCCGACAGAGUCAAGCAGGUUUGCUGAUAGGCAUCGUGCAGCCAAUUUUUACCAACAUUUGGGGCUCCGUCGUUGAGAACAACGUCAGCCUUCCACGUUUUCAACUCUCGGGAGAUGGCGACACGACAUUUGUCCGUUGUAAUGUCUUCGGUAAUGCUGAUACAGCCGGGUAUCGGUUUUAUCGGAAAUAGAUCUAUGCCGAUGACGAUUGACGACACGGGCAUGUUCUGCCGGGCGACUUGCAUCCAACCACCAGGAGCAGCGCAGAGAUCUAUGCAUACUCUAGACUUUUGCAAGAAUUCGAAUUUACGAUUGAGUUGGAUCAACUUGAACGCCGCACGAGAUCUGAAACCUGGGUUAUGGAGCACAAGAGGUUAUGUUAAUCGCUAACGUGCGCUAGUGCUGGACGCUUGCGACAGCCGACGAUACUCAGCGAUGGGGUCUUGUGAGUUUCGAAUAAGCGUAACUUGCCAACACAUGAUAUAUCAAAGCGCGG